AAUUAGCACAUUUUGUCAAAUUCCCGGUCGACUUUACCAUCAAUAGACUUCCGGAGCCGUAAUUGUGCUGAAAUGGACUGCUAACUGAGGGGGUGUGUUCUGUAUUUUC
rnacentral:snoRNA from 1 species